UACGUAGGGUGCAAGCGUUGUCCGGAAUUAUUGGGCGUAAAGAGCUCGUAGGCGGCUUGUCGCGUCGGCUGUGAAAACCUGGGGCUCAACCCCGGGCCUGUAGCCGAUACGGGCAAGCUAGAAUUCGGUAGGGGAGACUGGAAUUCCUGGUGUAGCGGUGAAAUGCGCAGAUAUCAGGAGGAACACCGGUGGCGAAGGCGGGUCUCUGGGCCGAUACUGACGCUGAGGAGCGAAAGCGUGGGGAGCGAACAGG
rnacentral:rRNA from 1 species